AUAGCGUAUAUUAAAGUUGUUGCAGUUAAAAAGCUCGUAGUUGAAUUUUAGGCCCGGUUGGACGGUCUGCUCUAGGGCUUGUACUGUCCUGACUGGGUCUUCCCUUCUGGAGAGCUGUCGUGUCGUUUACUCGGUGCGGCAGGGAUCCAGGACUUUUACUUUGAAAAAAUUAGAGUGUUUAAAGCAGCCAUUCGCUUGAAUACAUUAGCAUGGAAUAAUAAAAUAGGACUUUGGUUCUAUUUUGUUGGUUUCUAGGACCGAAGUAAUGAUUAAUAGGGAUAGUUGGGGGCAUUAGUAUUUAAUUGUCAGAGGUGAAAUUCCUGGAUUUAUGAAAGACUAACUUCUG
rnacentral:rRNA from 1 species